rnacentral:rRNA from 1 species
CUCGUAGGCGGCCAACUAAGUCCGACGUGAAAUCCCCAGGCUUAACCUGGGAACUGCGUCGGAUACUGGAUGGCUUGAAUCCGGGAGAGGGAUGCGGAAUUCCAGGUGUAGCGGUGAAAUGCGUAGAUAUCUGGAGGAACACCGGUGGCGAAGGCGGCAUCCUGGACCGGCAUUGACGCUGAUGAGCGAAAGCCAGGGAGCAAACG